GAUGAAGAACGCAGCGAAAUGCGAUAAGUAAUGUGAAUUGCAGAAUUCAGUGAAUCAUCGAAUCUUUGAACGCACAUUGCGCCCGCCAGUAUUCUGGCGGGCAUGCCUGUCUGAGCGUCAUUUCAACCCUCAUGCCCCUAGGGCGUGGUGUUGGGGAUCGGCCAAAGCCCGCAAGGGACGGCCGGCCCCUAAAUCUAGUGGCGGACCCGUCGUGGCCUCCCCUGCGAAGUAGUGAUAUUCCGCAUAGGAGAAGCGACGAGCCCCUGCCGUUAAACCCCCAACUUUCUCAGGUUGACCUCCGCUCAGGUAGGAAUACCCGCUGAACUUAAGCAUAUCAAUAAGCGGAGGA
rnacentral:misc_RNA from 1 species